AAGAUAGUUCUGAUUUGGAUUUGCUCAUAAGAACCCAGAUGCAAUCACAAAGACGAUUUUGGCCUCAUUUAAUUUUUUUUUUUACGGUUCUGUGACUGCCCAGACCGAGUGUUUUUGCUUUGUUUUCUGCGUCCUGACUCCUAAACCGCCUCCUUACUCCCUCAGACAACUACCUCUUCCUUCAACCGCGUCUUCAUCGGAGAUUCCAAUUCCGGGUCGGGUUUUGUCUCCACAGGCCGGUCCACCUCCAAACUCACCCUCUGCUUCAAGCUAUAGCUUUAGCAUCAAGAAAAUCGGAACUCCACUUGCUAUACUCAAAACACUGAAUCAGUUUUUGUCAUUAGAACCAACCACCUCGUAUACUGCUUUAAUCCGUAGCCGGGGUCAUAGAGAAUCACUAAUAGAGAUUACAAAUAAAAAGGACGUCGUAGGAGACCUUUUCAACCAACUUCGACUUGCCUCCCAAAGACAAACUAAAGGGCGUCCUGCUCAAUCAUCUUUUCAGCUUUGUACAAGAUAAAAGAGGACCAAAAUUUGGAGUUUCAGCAUGGAAAAUUUUGAACAGCCUAUGGACUUGAGCUCUGGAGGUGGCGAUAGCAAUGCAAUCGUCUUGCCAAAUAAGAGAAAGAGGAAAAGGAAGGGUGCUACUCAGGAGGGUAAGAUACUUGGCACAAGAAAAACACCGAAGAUGACCAAAUCCCAGGAAAGGAAGUUGCAAAAGUUGGAGGAGGAGAAGGAAAAAGCCCUUUUGCUAUCCAAGAGCAUUGAUGCCUUAGGGAAAUAUAAGCUUCCGGAGGGUGCAUAUUCUCUUUUGCAAUCAUCAAAAGAUAUUGGCCAGGUUGAAUCAAAAAAGGAAAAACGUAGGAAGGCUGUACUAUUCUCCAAAGCUGGAUUAGAAGUUCCCUAUACCAACCAACCAUUAAAAAAGAAAGACGGUAUGGAUGCUUGUAGUGAAAGUGAACCCGAGUCGGAAAGAACUCAACCAAGGCAGGAUCUUGACAAAAGUGGUCAAGUACAACCGAUGGUGAUACAAAAGGAAAUCCAAAAGACCACAUCUGUAUUUUUGAACUCCUCGCAGGGGCUAGUCUAUAGCAGAGGACAUGCUACAAAUGGUGGUCCUGCUGAUGGCUCACUGUCUAAAAAUGUUAUUUGCAACGUGUCUUUGCCAGAAAACAUAGCUUCUAGUGUGAAUGAUGACCAUGAAAGAACAGAGGCAAUGGAUAGAGUAAAAGGGAGCCCAAAGGUGACUUCAAGCAGGACAGGUGAAUUUUCUGAUUUUGCUGCUCCAAGGUCUUUGAUCGCUCCAACUAUAGUGCACGUAUCAAGGCCAAUUGAAGUUGAAAACACAAGGAAGGAUCUUCCAAUAGUAAUGAUGGAACAGGAGAUAAUGGAGGCUGUUAAUGACCAUUCCACUGUUAUUAUAUGUGGAGAAACAGGGUGUGGUAAAACCACUCAGGUUCCUCAGUUUCUUUUUGAAGCUGGCUUUGGUUCAAGUCACUCUUGUCAUCGAAGUGGUAUUAUUGGUGUCACUCAACCUCGUCGUGUUGCAGUCCUUGCAACUGCUAAGCGAGUUGCAUAUGAGCUUGGUCUGCAUUUAGGUAAAGAGGUUGGCUUUCAAGUUAGGUUUGACAAAAAAUUUGGCGACAGUUCCUCCAUCAAGUUCAUGACAGAUGGAAUAUUACUACGCGAGCUUCAGAGUGAUUUUUUGUUAAAGCGAUACUCUAUAAUAAUUCUUGAUGAAGCUCAUGAGCGGAGCUUGAGCACGGACAUACUUAUUGGAAUGCUUUCUCGUGUAAUUAGUACUCGCCAGGAAAUCUAUGUUAAGCAGCAAAGGGCUGUGCUUUCAGGAAAAACUAUAGAUCCUGGACAACAAGUUUUUCCAUUAAAGCUUGUGCUGAUGAGUGCCACCUUGCAAGUGGAAGACUUCAUUUCUGGUAGAAAGUUGUUUCGUGAUGUCCCGCCAGUUAUAGAAGUUCCCACUAGACAAUUUCCAGUAACCACUCACUUCUCAAAAAGAACUGGGACGGACUAUGUUGGCCAAGCAUAUAAAAAAGUCUUGGCAAUUCACAAGAGGCUGCCCCGGGGGGGCAUACUUGUCUUUGUCACUGGGCAGAAGGAAGUAGAGUUCUUGUGUCAAAAACUACGUAGAGCUUCAACAGAACUGGUCAUGAAAACAUCUGGAGGGAAAAUUGGGUGUAAUGCCACUGAUGCUUCUAAUAAAGAUGUUGAACUACUAGAUAUGAACGAGAUUAAUGAAGCAUUUGAGGUUGAAGAAAAUUUAGCCGACCAUCAAAUUGACAGGUUUAGCUCUGUUGAUGAAGUUCUGGGUAAUAUAUAUGAGGAUGAAUUGGAUGCUUCGUAUGAUUCAGACACAGACAGUGAAGUGGAAAUUAUUGAUGAUGAUGGGGGUUUAUUGUUACACAAUCCCCCAGAAAUUGAUGGUGUUGGUGCAGAUGUUUUAGGAGAGACGGGGAGCAUUGCUUCACUGAAAGCUGCUUUUGAAGCUUUGGCUGGUAAAACUGAACUGUACUCUAGUUCUGAUGGGAAACAGCCAAUUUCAGUUACUGUAGAUGCUUACUUUAAUAAAUCCCAUCCUAGUCUUGGGAAAAAGAGUGAGGUUGAUAUUGAUAAUUCCCCAGGUGGCUUGCAUGUUCUCCCUCUUUAUGCCAUGCUGCCUGCGGCUUCUCAGCUUCGCGUAUUUGAAGAAGUCAAGGAAGGAGAUCGACUAGUUGUUGUAGCCACAAAUGUGGCUGAGACCUCUUUAACCAUACCUGGGGUAAAGUAUGUCGUCGAUACUGGCAGAGUAAAAGUGAAAGACUACAAUUCCUCAAAUGGUAUGGAAACAUAUAACAUAAAGUGGAUAAGUAAGGCAUCAGCUGCUCAACGUAAAGGAAGAGCUGGAAGAACGGGACCCGGGCACUGUUAUCGUCUUUAUUCUUCUGCAGUAUAUAAUAAUGAAUUUCCCGACUUUUCUCCGGCUGAAAUAUUGAAAGUCCCUAUUGAUGGCGUUGUCCUUCUCAUGAAAUCUAUGAAUAUUGAAAAGGUAUCCAAUUUUCCAUUUCCAACUCCACCUGAUGUUGCUGCCUUGGGUGAAGCAGAACGUUGCUUGAAUGCCCUUGAAGCACUUGACAGCAAUGGCAGAUUAACACCUUUAGGGAAGGCCAUGGCUCGUUACCCCAUGAGUCCUCGCCACUCCAGGAUGCUCCUUACGGUUAUUCAAAUCAUGUACAAUGAGAAAAGUUAUUCCCGCAGUAAAUUAAUUCUAGCAUAUGCAGUUGCAGCAGCGGCUGCUUUGAGUUUGUCAAAUCCUUUUGUGAGGCAGUUUGAAAAUGACUCAAAUAACCAUGACUUGGAUCAGGAUGAAAAUCUCAGCGCUUCUGUGAACAAUAAGGUGUUAGAGAAGCAAGAAAAGUUAAGAAGGAAGAAACUAAAAGAAACUGUAAAGGUGUUUCGUGAAAAAUUUUCUAAUCCUGUCAGUGAUGCUCUGUCUGUAGCUUAUGCUUUGCAGUGCUAUGAACUUUCUAGGAGCCCACUAAAGUUCUGCAAUGAUAAUGCCCUACACCCAAAAACGAUGGAGGAAAUGUCCAAGCUGAGAAAGCAACUACUCCAACUUGUAUUUAGUCAAUGUGGUGUAUCUGGCAGUGAGAAGGAUUUUUCAUGCAUUUUUGGAAGUUUGGAAGAUGUUGAACAUGUUUGGAGGGCUUCCCAUGAUAAGAGUCCUCUUUCACUGUAUGAGGAAGAUCUCUUAGGCCAAGCUAUCUGUGCUGGUUGGGCAGAUAGGGUGGCGAAACGUAUUAGAGGAACCUCAGGGUCAUCUGAAGUAGAUAGAAAAGUUCAUGCAGUGCGGUAUCAAGCCUGCAUGGUUGAAGAGACUGUGUUCCUCCACCGUUGGUCAUCUGUUUCUAAUGCUGCCCCAGAGUUUUUGGUGUACACUGAGCUAAUACAGACAAGACGUCCAUACAUGCAUGGUGUUACUAGUGUAAAACCAGAAUGGCUUGUAAAGUAUGCUCCAUCUUUAUGCACUUUCUCUGCAGCUUCAUCCGAUGCCAAGCAGUAUUAUGAGCCUGUGACUGACCAAGUGUUACAUGAUGUCAUUCCAGCCUUUGGUCCUCAUCUAUGGAAGCUUCCCCCACAUAGUUUGCCUAUUACUAACUAUAUCUCUCGAGUGGCAGUUUUUGCUUAUGCUUUGCUUGAAGGCCAGGUUUUGCCAUGCUUGAGACGUGCUCGGGAGUUUAUGAAGGCACCUCCAGCUAGUAUUUUACGGCCAGAGGCAGAAGGGCAAAGACGGGCUGGAAAUUUGUUAGCUAAGUUAAACAUAAAAAAGAUAGACAGCUGUGCUAUGUUAAGAGAGAUCUGGAAGGAGAAUCCUAAUGAAUUGCAUUCAGAAAUCCAGGAUUGGUUUAAGGAGAGUUUCCGCAAGAAUUUGGCAGCUCUAUGGUCAGACAUGCUUAGGGAAGUUCUUUUAGAGCCGCAAGAACGGUUUUCAAAGAGAGAGAUCAGAAGAAUUGAAGUUAAAAGAUAAACUAAAUGCUAAUUUAAAUGGGGAAAUAGGAGCUGGAGGGGUUCUUAGAUAUGAUUAUGGUAACUGGAUACAUGGAUUUGUUGCUCAUCUGGGGCAUGGUCAGAUUUUGGAAGCUGAGACAUGGGUGGAUUUGAUGAUAUGCACCCUGUGAAGACGGUUAUUUUGUCUCCAUCUUCAAAGUAGCUUCUCCGAGUGUGUGAUUAGCCUCGUGUUUCGAGAAGUUAAUAUAGUUGCAGAUGCCCUUUCAAGAUGCAAUUUAUCUGC